rnacentral:rRNA from 1 species
GAUGAACGCUAGCGGCGGGCCUAAUACAUGCAAGUCGAACGGUGCAGCAAUGCAUAGUGGCAGACGGUGCGUAACGCGUAUGCAACCUACCUUUUAUCGGGGGACAACAUUUCGAAAGAAGUGCCAAUACCGCGUAAGAUAGUAGUGGGACAUCCCACAGCUAUUAAACUUUCGGGGAUAGAAGAUGGGCAUGCGUCUGAUUAGCUAGUUGGCGGGUAACGGCCCACCAAGGCGACGAUCAGUAGGGGAACUGAGAGGUUGAUCCCCCACACUGGCACUGAGAUACGGGCCAGACUCCUACGGGAGGCAGCAGUAGGGAAUAUUGGGCAAUGGACGGAAGUCUGACCCAGCCACGCCGCGUGCAGGAGGAAGGCGCUCUGCGUUGUAAACUGCUUUAGCAGGGGAGAAAAGACUCAUGCGUGAGGAAUUGACGGUACCCUGAGAAUAAGCACCGGCUAACUACGUGCCAGC